UCUUGGCGCGUCAAUCAUGACAGGACCCAGAAACGCCCUCUCCUCUGUGACAGUAGUCAUAGCGACCUCAUGCUACAACUGUCACCGUGCUACCCCUUCCCAAAAAUGGCGAAAAGAAAGGCAGAAAACAGGAGCUUUUUGGACAGGUGGGAAGCAGAAUAUCUGUUAACAUAUGUAAAAGACAGACCUGUUUGUCUUGUAUAUGGAGCCAACGUGGCUUUAACUAAGGAGUACAACAUUAGACGACACUAUGAAACGGCCCAGAGCAGUGAAGCAAGGAGCAACGCUUGGCAGCGCUGAUAGCUGAGGAGGUGAGGUCAAUGCAAGUUUGCCUCAGAACCUGCCACAGCAUCUAAACUGCAAAGACUGUAUGAAUAAAAGGAGACACAAAUGAUAUAAAUCCAUGUCUAGCAUAAUAAAGUUUUAAAUAAG